rnacentral:sRNA from 1 species
AGCAGCGUCGACAUGAUCGACGCGCUCUGAAGCAUCAGACCGUUGAACGCUUUGACCACGGAUGUACUGGCAUUGACGAAAACGGAUGGAAAGGUCGGGCUUGCCCCGGCCUUUUUGUUU